GGAGGGUGCAAGCGUUAUCCGGAUUUACUGGGUUUAAAGGGUGCGUAGGCGGAUAGGUAAGUCAGGGGUGAAAUCUUCGAGCUUAACUCGGAAAUUGCCUUUGAUACUAUCUAUCUUGAAUAUUGUGGAGGUAAGCGGAAUAUGUCAUGUAGCGGUGAAAUGCUUAGAGAUGACAUAGAACACCUAUUGCGAAGGCAGCUUACUACGCAUAUAUUGACGCUGAGGCACGAAAGCGUGGGGAUCAAACAGGAUUAGAUACCCUGGUAGUCCACGCCCUAAACGAUGAUUACUCGACAUACGCGAUACACUGUGUGUGUCUGAGCGAAAGCAUUAAGUAAUCCACCUGGGAAGUACGACCGCAAGGUUG
rnacentral:rRNA from 1 species